UUCUAAUUGCCAGCCCACAUUCAGAUUAUUCCCGAUGUUUUUGACAGCUGGUUUUCAGUCGGGAUUUUGUGAACGACCAAGAGUUGUUUGGGGCUGCAGAACUGAAGUUUAGCCCUCAAAUAUAGUCUGGGGGUAUGGAUCCAGCUACAGAACCUUCCAACCAGCGGUGAAGGGUGAAAGUCUGUAACGUCACCUCCACAAGGCGAGGAGAUUUAUGGGAAGUGUAGUCUGGAAUGCGCCUGGCUUAACUCCACUCCCAACCCCCAUAGCUGCACUCCUGGACUGAGUUUCCUGGCCUCCGGCUCUUCUGUCCUAAGCUGUAACAGAGUGUGAGCGACCCCGAGGAUGUGCAACUGCGGUGGGAUGGAGUCCGGGGACAGUUUCCUUGAAACCCGGCCAAGUCCACAAUGUCCUACAGCGCCGGGACGGGAAGCCUGGGGGCCCAAGCUUCAGCCACCUAGUGUGGGAGCGCUGGGGUGCUGGUGGGACUGAGUGCUCCGGCGGUCAGUGCAGCCUGGUGUGCAGGACCCAAAGCCUGCCCGACUUCGUGCUAGGAAGCGGGUCGGCCGGCAGACCCCGAGCUCCAGAGUUUAAAAUCCCAGCAAAUUCCAUCUCUGUCCUAGAUCUGUGUCUUUGAAACAACAGCUCUUGGGGAGUAGGAAGCAGAAGGCCUCGGUGUAUAGGCAUUUCACCUGGAAGAGAAAACUCUCAGGAUUCCUCUCAGACUCCUCUCAGAGCAGGAAAAUAAGAGCCUGGAGAGAAGCACUUCCUGGAUCAGAAGCCAUUCUUGGUCGUCCAGCUCCAUAAGACCCAGGCAUGAUGGCAGUGCUACCCCAGAGCUGCUGCAGUCUCUAGAUGUAGGUCAGCUUUGAGAACAGCAGGGUGAGCUAAGGAGGUCCAGCGAAGGCUACCUGGGAAAGGCCAGGCCAUUGCAGAGCUGGUGGUGGUCUACAGAAAUGGGCAAACAGUCAGAGUUUUACCCCACUGUGCCUAGAUAGCCCAGUCCCUUCUACACUCCUUAGGAACCCCACUUCUCUCACACAAUGUCACAUGUGACACUCAUGAUUUUACCCUGAUAUCAGAAAAACAUUACAGGUCAAACUUUCCAAAGUUGCCUGUUUGACUCUGGGAAACUUAAAAAAAAUAAAAUAAAAUAAACUUUUUUUCAGAUGUAAAAGGUUUGCUGACUUUGCAAGGGUUUACUCAGUUACAACAGGAGGAAGGCACAGCAGUUCACUGCCUGUGAGCCACCGAAGGCAUCUAUCUAAAGAUUUUACAAUUCAUCCUGUUAAAACAGAAAGUUAAAAAUCCUUGCCUUAAAACAUUUCAUCUCAGUGUGUGUGUGUGUGUGUGUGUGUGUGUGUGUGUGUGUGUG